CUACGGGUCGCUGCAGUGGGGAAUAUUGGACAAUGGGCGCAAGCCUGAUCCAGCAAUGCCGCGCGAGUGAAGACGGCCUUAGGGUUGUAAAACUCUUUCGCUAGGGAAGAUAAUGACUGUACCUAGUAAAGAAGUCCCGGCUAACUCCUUGCCAGCAGCCGCGGUAAUACGGAGGGGACUAGCGUUGUUCGGAAUUACUGGGCGUAAAGAGUUCGUAGGCGGACUGACAAGUUAGAGGUGAAAUCCCAGGGCUCAACCCUGGAACUGCCUUUAAAACUGUCAGUCUAGAGACCGGAAGAGGUUAGGGGAAUACCUAGUGUAGAGGUGAAAUUCGUAGAUAUUAGGUGGAACACCAGUGGCGAAGGCGCCUAACUGGUCCGGUACUGACGCUGAGGAACGAAAGCGUGGGGAGCAAACAGGAUUAGAUACCCCCGUAGUC
rnacentral:rRNA from 1 species